CCUACGGGGGGCAGCAGUGGGGAAUAUUGCACAAUGGGGGAAACCCUGAUGCAGCGACGCCGCGUGAAGGAAGAAGGCUUUCGGGUUGUAAACUUCUUUUCUGAGGGACGAAGAAAGUGACGGUACCUCAGGAAUAAGCCACGGCUAACUACGUGCCAGCAGCCGCGGUAAUACGUAGGUGGCAAGCGUUAUCCGGAUUUAUUGGGUGUAAAGGGCGUGUAGGCGGGAAAGCAAGUCAGAUGUGAAAACUCAGGGCUCAACCCUGAGCCUGCAUUUGAAACUGUUUUUCUUGAGUGCUGGAGAGGCAAUCGGAAGUCCGUGUGUAGCGGUGAAAUGCGUAGAGAUACGGAGGAACACCAGUGGCGAAGGCGGAUUGCUGGACAGUAACUGACGCUGAGGCGCGAAAGCGUGGGGAGCAAACAGGAGUAGAUACCCGGGUAGUC
rnacentral:rRNA from 1 species